GGAAGCCAGAACAGCUGGAGCUGAAGAAGGGAUUUAAGUUAGACUUUAGGAAGGACUUUCUGGGCAAUUGUACCCUAAAAUAGACAGGAGAGGCUGGGUAUGAGGAAAAGAAGGUGGCAGGUGGAUCGAAGUCAGGAGAAGGCCCACUCAUGAUGCUGCUUCCCCCUCCUUGAACUCUUCCCUGAUCCAGGCAUCUCCCCAGGCCCCGGAGGCUGCCUCCAACACAGGGAAUGCUGAGAGGGCAGAGGAGGUGCCUGGAGAAGGAAGCCUGUUCCUGCAGGCCGAGACCCGGGCUUGGUUCCAGAAGACCCAGGCCCACUGGCUCCUGCAGCACGGGGCAGCCCCUGCCUGGUUCCAUGGCUUCAUCACCCGGAGGGAGGCAGAGAGGCUGCUGGAGCCCAAGCCUCAGGGAUGCUACUUGGUGCGGUUCAGCGAGAGCGCGGUGACCUUCGUGCUGACUUACAGGAGCCGGACUUGCUGCCGCCACUUCCUGCUGGCCCAGCUCAGGGACGGGCGCCACGUGGUGCUGGGCGAGGACAGCGCCCACGCGCGGCUGCAGGACCUGCUGCGGCACUACACCGCGCACCCGCUCAGCCCCUACGGGGAGACGCUCACCGAGCCCCUCGCCCGACAGACUCCUGAGCCUGCAGGACUUUUCCUGAGGACCGAAGAAUCAAACUUUGGAAGCAAAAGCCAGGACCCAAACCCCCAGUACAGCCCAGUCAUCAAACAGGGGCAAGCCCUAGUCCCGAUGCAGAAAGAGGGGGCUGGGGAGAAGGAG
rnacentral:sRNA from 1 species